rnacentral:lncRNA from 10 species
CUGGUACUGCACAUGAAGAUGUCCCGCUCUCCCCUGCUCAAGGAGAGAGUGCCUGACCUGAGCUGGGCCCAUCAGAUCCAGUACUUACCUGGAAUAGGAAAAAGAUGGGGAGAGUGACCAAAGACUACAAAAAUCUCUGAAGCUUAUCUACUUGAGAGAGAGUCCCUGAAGAUACUGGCCUCUCAUUCCUGCUAUGUAUAUCCAAUGUGACUGAACUCUGAAUAAAAUAUACAAGUUAUAACAAUGUAGCAAUUGACCCAGCAAACGAGGACACAAACGUGUUGAAGGGAUUUGAGUUUGAUGUCUUGCAUACAAUGUGAUCCCACUGUAUGACUACACAAAUGUUGGCAAAAGUAAGUUCAGAGGAAAUGGUAGGCAAGUACUUCCCAGUUUUGACCAGAAGAUGGAGAAAAAAGAAUUCUCAAAAAAUAUUAAAAGUGUCUACGGAGAAAUAGACAAGCGAUGCACGACAGAUACAUGUGUCAGUCUGGUCCCUGCAGUUGUAUUUGUAAUAAUACACAUUGGAGCAAUUUCAUGGCCAUCGGUUAGAGAAUGUUUGAGGAAUGAUCCUUUCAUAUCAAGAAGGACAUUUCA